UAAUAUCUAAGCCUCUUGCUGCACUGCGCAUAUUUAAAAUCAUAUGAAAAUCCUAAGCUUUGUAGAAAGUAUCUAAAAACAGGCUACUACGCAAGGAGAUCUGGUAAGAACAUCUAAAAUUUAUCGUGAUCUAUCUCAGGGGGAGUCGUCACUCAUCUGACUCUGAGAUAACUUUUUUAAAUCCUUGUUGAAGUAUCAUUGUUUCAUCAUCAUUCUUAGGUUUUUG
rnacentral:lncRNA from 1 species